rnacentral:rRNA from 1 species
AACGAACGCUGGCGGCAUGCCUAACACAUGCAAGUCGAACGAAGCCUUCGUGCUUAGUUGCGCACGGGUGCGUAACGCGUGGUAAUCUGCCCCUUGCUUCGGUAUAACUGUUAUAAAUUACUCCUAAUACCGGAUGAACUCUUCGGUCCAAAGAUUUAUCGGCACGGGAUGAGCCCUCGUAGGAUUAGGUUGUUGGUGUGGUAAAGGCCUACCAAGCCGACGAUCCUUAGCUGUUCUGAGAGGAUGAUCAGCCACACUGGGACUGAGACACGGCACAGACUGGUACGGGAGGGAGCAGUGGGGAAUAUAGGAGAAUGGACGCAAGUAUGAUCAAGAAAUGCCGGGUGAGAGAUGAAGGAGUUAGGGUUGUAAAGAUCUUUUACAAGGGAUGAUAAUGACAGUAAAUGGAGAAUAAGCUCCGGCUAACUCCGUG